CACAUAUUGUAAAGGAUAAUAGCGACUUCUAAUAGAGACAGAGAGAUGGACGCACCCGAGGUUCAAUCCAUUGAGACUUCCAGCAAAGACUUACCUCUUCCUCAAGAAGACGAACCAGACAAAGCUAUCAAUGAAUGGUAAAAUCUUUUAUUAUCUGUAUAUUUUGAUUGUUGUAAUUAUAUAUAGUGCAAGUUUGUAAAUUGUUGGUUCAUGAUGAAUUGCAGUUGCUCCUGCUUUUAUGACUGCACGGAUUCCCUCAUUGACUACUUUUGCUGCACCGACAUCUGUUAAUUUCUUCAAUUUUAUUUUCUUCUUGUAUUUAUUGGAGAUAUGCACAUCGCGCGGAUGUGCAUUUACUUCAUUUUUGUUCUUCAGAUCCGUUUCUGUGCUCCUUUUCGUUCUGAAUUAACUUUAUUUUCGUUAUAACACUAGUCAAUUUCAGCUCUCAGUUAUUUUCUCCUUUUAAACAAAAUUAAUAAUGCAAGAAUAUUUACUCAAACUAAUUGAUGAUUGCUAACGAGAUUUUAGCAAUUAAUGAUUGAA
rnacentral:lncRNA from 1 species